GGAAGACCUUGAGUCUUGACGUCUGUCUUGAGAAAACAAGCGGUUAAACAUGGCUGGAGUUUUCAGUGGAUGUCAGAUUGUGCUGGAUCUUACAACAAGUGUUGCCUUCAAGAAGAAGGUGGAAAUAAAGAAGAAAAUUAUAGAAAAUGGAGGAAUUGUGUCAUUUAUUGUUACCAAAAAGAGUACACAUGUUGUUGGCAAUGAUCCUGAAAAGUAUGACAUUUCUUACAAAUGUCAAAUGGCUGCCAAGUAUCGGAUUCCAGUUGUCUCCCCUGAAUUUAUAUGGAGUGCCAUAAAAAUGGGAAAACUGCCAAAUUCUGAUGACUACAUAAUUGGGGGAAGAAGCAAAAAAUCUGAUUUUAAAUCUGGGAAAAUUACAGCAAAUCUCUCAAACACAGCUGAGAAGAAGAAGGCAAAGUCUUUGUUUUCUAUCAAAGGCACCAAAGUUUGGAAAUUUGGUGACAAGGAUGCACCAUUUUUUGAUGAGACAACUUUUGAGAUUGCUAAAUAUGCAGCAUUUCAGGGUUAUGACAAGAAAUCGGAAAGCCAUGUGUUUCAUGUGCUAGAGCUCCAGGCUGCCGACGUGACAUCAAAGAAUGCUGAGAACAGGGAAUUCAAGUUCCGGGUUUUCACACACUACGGCUCCAUCCAGAAGAUUCAGGAAGGUAACCCAGGAAACCAGGAGUGUCGGUACGCUCAAAACGCUGAUGUGGCACUUGCUAUAUAUGGUCAGCUUCACAAGGACCUCAGUAAUCCUACAAGAAAGAUGGAACUUGUUCAAGGAAGUUUACCAAGAGGCAUUGGUUCUGCUAAACUCCAAAAGAUGGUUUCCGAGAUGAUGGUUGAUGAUGAAUCACUAGCGCCCCCUGUUGUUGACCUAAUUGAACACAUUUGGCGAGAGGCUGCGGGUGAGGUUGAAGAGAUUAUUGCAACUCCAGUGAGCAACAUCAAGGUGGAACAGGUUGAAAAGGCUGAAGCCAUCUUGCUUCAAAUCAGAGAAGCAUUUGACAAAUCGUCUGAGGUUCAGAAAUUGCUUGUUGAUUUCUAUGACACUCUAAAACAUACCAGCGAACAGCCACAAAACACAACAGUCACAAAGGCCUGGCUAGCAAAGAAGCAAGAUCUUUGUCAGCUUAUUAAGGAUAUGGUCUCUGUAAACGAGGCUACGAACUGGUCAACCCGGAGCAGCGUGGAGGCAAAGUAUCGAGCACUGAGGUGCAGGAUUGGUCAUCUGGAAACCCAUGACAGCCGGUAUAAAACGGUCAAACAUCUUGUCAUGUCAUCAAUCAUUGGUGAUCUCACAGUUGAAAUUAAAUCCAUCUAUGAAGUUCAGAGGCCGAUUGAAGAUAACAGUUUCCUCCAAGAAAUGUCCAACAAAAGGCUGCUUUUUCACUCAUCCAAGACUGAAAACUUUGUUGGAAUAUUUUCAAGAGGACUGUUGCUACCGAAGAUAGUUGUUGAUGAUUUUGGUGGAACAAGAACGGAUGCCGGCACGUUGGGCAGUGGGGUAUACUUUGCCAGUGCUGCCAGUACAAGUGCAAAGUACUCUCAUCCCAGCAAGACCAAAGGGACACGACUCAUGCUUGUGAACGAAGUUGCUUUGGGUGGCUGUCUGGAUGUGUUUGAAUACAACACAGAGCUGAAGGAACCACCAGAAGGCUAUAACAGUGUUCAUGGAGUCAGGAAGAAGCACAGCAUUGAUUCACAGUUUAAGGAUGAUGAGUACGUGGUGUACUCUCUCAAUCAACAACGGAUCAAAUAUUUGGUUGAAUUUGCUUUGGCUGGAGACACAUUCACCAGCAUCAAUGUGUCUGAGACAGAGACAGAUAUGGAAGACGUUUCAUCGGGAAUCACUGAUAUAGAUUUACGAGAUGUGCAAGGCGUUGAGGAUCCGCUGUCUAAAGUGAAGGCUGGUUUGAUAUGCGACAAACACGAGAAUGCAGUUGACCUUAGAGGUGUUCAUAUUCGGGCCAGGCUUGUCGAUCUGGCUGCGGAGGUGAUAGUGAUGCAGGAGUACUACAACAACCUCGAUGAUGCUGUUGAAGCCAAAUUUAUUUUCCCGCUCGACGACAUGGCCGCGGUGUGUGGGUUUGAAGCAUUCAUCAACGGCAAACACAUCAUUGGAGAAGUGAAGGAGAAGGAGAUGGCUCACAGGGAAUACAAGAAAGCCAUCAGUGAGGGACAUGGAGCCUACCUCAUGGACCGCGACGAAGAGACACCCGAUAUUUUCACAGUAAGUGUGGGAAACCUGCCACCGGGAGCCUGCGUUCUCAUCAAAAUCAUCUACGUUGCCGAACUACAGGUGGAAGGGGAGGUAAUCAACUUCCGGCUGCCUGGAAGUGUGGCACCGUGGAAGGAAGAUUCAGCAACAAAAGAAACAACACAGACCGAGUUGGACACACACAAGGUUGAGACAGGGAAAACGACAGUCCAGGUUUCCAUUGACAUGCCAUUUGACAUACACAGUCUGGAGUGCCCUACACACAAGCUCAGGAUUAAGAAAACUGCCACAAAAGCUGUAGUUAAAAUGAAAGAAGGCCAGUCUUUUAAAGAUGGCUUCCAGCUGCUGAUUGGUCUAGCAGAAAUACACGUGCCCAGGAUGUGGGUUGAGAAUCAUCCCACGAAAUCAGAUCACCAGGCCUGCAUGUUGACAUUUUACCCCGAGUUUGAAGCAGGAGAGCAGGAAGAAGUAGAAAUUGUUUUUCUGUUGGAUCUGUCUAACUCAAUGAAGGGCCAGGCACUUGAAGAUGCCAAGAAGAUUCUGCUUCUCACACUAAAAAACCUGCCAUCUCACGCCUUGUUCAACAUCGUAGUGUUCGGAACAGCCUACAGGGAGCUGUUUCCUGUGAGUGAAACCAACACACCAGCCAAUGCUUCUCGGGCUCACCAGUUUGUUAUGAACUGUUCAGCUAACUUGGGGAACACUGAGGUUUUCAGGCCACUGCAUUCGAACUACCUCCUUUCCUCGGAGAGUUCCAUCAAAAACAUCUUUCUCAUUAGUGAUGGCCAUAUCAACAAUGAGGACAUUGUCCUGAAUGCAGCUCUCAGCCAUUCCACACACACCAGGAUUUUCACUUUUGGAGUCAGCUCAACAUCCAAUGUGCACUUACUGAGAUCUUUAGCAAGAGUUGGAGGAGGAGCAUUUGAAUUCUUUGACAGAAAAGCCAAGUCUAAGUGGGAGAACAAGGUAAAAAAUCAGUUAUCAAAGGCAGCUCAGCCAGGUCUGACAUCUGUGAGUGUUGAGUGGCGACAGUUUGAUGAAGACCCUGCCAGCCUACCCCAGGCCCCUCGACAAAUUACUGCGCUCUUUAGUGGGUCACGACAAGUCGUCUACGGAUAUGUUCCAAACUGUACCAUGGCCACAUUGAAAGCUGUAGUUGGUGGACAAGAAGUGUGUACAGUUGUAUCAACCUCAGAUCUUGGCAUUACAAGGGGACUGACUGUUCACAGGCUGACUGCCAGGGCCAUAAUCCGAGACUGGGAAGAUGGCAUGCUUUCUUCAGACCGCACCAGACAUGAGAUUCUAAAAAUGAACUUGAAACCAUACAUUAUUGACUUGAGCACUGAAUAUUCCAUUGUGACACAAUUCACAAGCUUUGUGGCAGUAGAAAAAAGAGAUGAGGAUGAAAAAGCAGGCAAGUGGACAGUAACUGGACCAACCAUCUCAGAGCUGGUAUCCCAGGAAGUGGUUGAUAUGUUGCCGUACAUGUCGUGGGAACUGGAUGCGAAAGCAACCAAAGAGGACCAUUAUGAGGAGAUGAUUUCCAAAUUAGAAUUGUCUGUGAAAAACUGUACUGAUGAAAAGACUGCAACAGAAAUUUGGAAUGAAGUCCAGAAAAAACUUGAGCCAAGUGAUCCCAAAAUUAUUGAGCUGGCAGAAUCCAUUGGCCAUUCAUUACACAACCUUGGACAUGAGGACAAAGCGAUAUCUGUGUGCCAAGCCGCAUUUGAUGCAGCUGUUGCUGAGCUAGAUACUCUAAGUGAGGAAAGCUACAUGGUGAAAACGAAGAGCUUGAACAAUUUGGCUAAAUUUCUUUCUGAAUUAAAGGAGAUGCAGAGUACAGAAGAAAGUGAAGAUGAGAGUGAAGAAGACAGUUCUUCAAUGUUGGUCGAAGAUGAUGCGAGACAUGUGAUUCUUACAACACUAACAGGAAAAUCUAUCGGCUUUGAUUUGACUCCUUUCAACACCAUCGCUGAUUUCAAAGCAAAGAUCCAAGAUGCUGAAGGAAUUCCACCCGACCAGCAGCGACUGGUGUUUGGGGGCAAACUGCUCGACAAUGAUGACGGAACUCUGGCUGACUAUAGCAUUACUGAUUAUUCCACAGUGUUCCUAGUUUUAAGGUUGAGAGGAGGACCAGCAGAGCAAGGACCAGGAUAUCAAGGAGCAGACAACAAGUCUAAAGAACAUGAAGAAGAUGACGGCAACAUGGAAUUGGAAUCAGAAGAUGAGUCGGAAGAGGAAUCAGACGAGAGAGAGGAAUCUGCUGAAUGGCUGGCCAGGAUUUCAUUGUUUGAUUCAGAUAAAAAAUCCAAGAGAUUGAGAUCAAGGUCAAGGUCAAGAUCAAGAUCAAGAGAGUUAAUUAAAACAGGAAAGGACAUCUAACAUGCCCAAUGCAUCUGUCCGCUGUUGCUAUUUCUCGCUCCAGCCAUUGCACCACAACUGGUACAUCAAAGGCUGUGACGGAAGGGAAGAGGAAUCAGAAGAGGUAUCUGAAGAGGAGAUGGGGUUUUCAUUCUUUGGAGGGGAGGAAGAACCAAUGUCGACAGAACAAAUGAAGAUGCCAUUUGAUAUAUCUGAGAUAGAUGAAUCACAACUGAG
rnacentral:misc_RNA from 1 species